GGUGGGGAUAUGUGUGGAAAGGGUGAGUAAACGUGUGAGAUCUGCCCUGCUCUCUGGGACAAACCCUGGAAACGGCGUCUAAUACCGGAGAUAACUGUCCUCCUCACGGGGGAUUGUGUAAAGCUCCUUUCGUGCAGGAAGAGCCCGCGGCCUAUCACUUGUUGGUGAGGUAGUGGCUCAACAAGGCCACACACAGGUAACCCGCCUGAGAGGGCGACCGGCCACACUGGGACAGAGACACGGCCCACACACCUACCGGAGGCACCAGUGGGGAAUAUUGCACAAUGGGCGAAAGCCUGAUACAGCGACACCCCGUGAGGGAUGACGGCCUUCGGGUUGUAAACCUCUUUCAGCAGGGAAGAAGCGAGAGUGACGGUACCUGCAGAAGAAGCGCCCGCUAACUACGUGCCAGCAGCCGCGGUAAUACGUAGGGCGCAAGCGUUGUCCGGAAUUAUUGGGCGUAAAGAGCUCGUAAGCCGCUUGUCACGUCCGUUGUGAAAGCCCGGGGCUUAACCCCGGAUCUGCAGUCGAUACCGGCAGGAUAAAAUUCCGUAAGGGAAAUCGGAAUUUCUGGUGUAGCGGUGAAAUGCGCAGAUAUUAAGAAGAACACCGGUUGCGAAAGCGGAUCUCUGGGCCGAUACUGACCUUAAGAACCAAAACGUGGGGAGCCAACAGGAUUAUAUACCCUGGUAAUCCACUGCCUAAACCGUGGGCACUAAGUGUGGGCGACAUUUCACGUUGUCCGUGGCGCAACUAAACAAUUAGUGCCCCCCCGGGGAAUACCGCCCCAGGGUAAACUCAAAGGAAUUGAAGGGGGCCCCCACAAACGGGGGAACAGUGGCUUAAUUCACUCACCCGGAAAAACCUUACCAGGGUUGAAUACACCGAAAACGUCUGGAAAAGGCGCCCCUUGGGACCGUGUACACGUGUGCAUAGCUUUCUCACCUCUCGUGUGAGAUAUGUGGUAAAUCCCCAACAAGAGCACACCUUUCCCCUGUUUCCCCACGCCUUUGGGUGGUAGUGAUUAAAGAAGACCGCCUGAUCACUCGA
rnacentral:rRNA from 1 species